GUAACUCUUGGAACUUCCCUAAAGAUUAUUUUGCUGUGCAGCUCCGUAUGUGCAUAUAUUCACACCAGACAGUAGACAGAGAACAAGAGGAAGCAGAUUCCAGAAGCAGCAGCUGAGAUCCACUUCUAGAGGCUGCCCGCAUUCUUUGGCUCAUGGCCCUCUUCCAUCUUCGCAGGAGUAAUAGUGAGUCCUUCUCAGAUCACCUCACUCUGACUCUCCCGCCUCCCUCUUCCAUUUCUAAAAACACUUCUGACGGCAUGAGGCCCACCUGGACAAUGUAGGAUGAUCUCCACAUCUCAAGAGUCUUGCUCUGUCGCCCAGGCUGGAGUGCACUGGCAAUGAUGUCUGCUCACUGCAACCUCUGCCUCCUGGGCUCAAGAGCCUCCUGAGUAGCUGGGACCACAGCUGAGCACCACCAUGCCCAGCCAAUUUUUAUAUUUUUAGUAAAGACAGGGUUUUGCCAUGUUGCCCAGGAUGGUCUCAAACUCCCGAACUCAAGCAGUCCACCCACCUCGGCCUCCCAAAGUGCUGGGAUUACAGACAUGAGCCACCACAUGCAGCCAAGAAUUUCUGAAUAAUGAAUUUCAUCAGAAGAAAAGUGAUCUAAUAUACAAGGUCAGAGAUAAUAAAGAAUGCAGAGAAAGAUAUUGGAAAUACAAUACAUGGACAUAUCUAUGGGAACAUUCACUGUGAAACAUAACUAAGAUCAAUGUCUUGUGAGGCUAAAAAUGAAAACAAGUUUUAAGUACACAAAGAAAACUCCUUCGAUGUUUUGUAACAAUAAAG
rnacentral:lncRNA from 10 species